rnacentral:rRNA from 1 species
CUAACACAUGCAAGUCGAACGGUAACAGGAAGAAGCUUGCUUCUUUGCUGACGAGUGGCGGACGGGUGAGUAAUGUCUGGGAAACUGCCUGAUGGAGGGGGAUAACUACUGGAAACGGUAGCUAAUACCGCAUAACGUCGCAAGACCAAAGAGGGGGACCUUCGGGCCUCUUGCCAUCGGAUGUGCCCAGAUGGGAUUAGCUAGUAGGUGGGGUAACGGCUCACCUAGGCGACGAUCCCUAGCUGGUCUGAGAGGAUGACCAGCCACACUGGAACUGAGACACGGUCCAGACUCCUACGGGAGGCAGCAGUGGGGAAUAUUGCACAAUGGGCGCAAGCCUGAUGCAGCCAUGCCGCGUGUAUGAAGAAGGCCUUCGGGUUGUAAAGUACUUUCAGCGGGGAGGAAGGGAGUAAAGUUAAUACCUUUGCUCAUUGACGUUACCCGCAGAAGAAGCACCGGCUAACUCCGUGCCAGCAGCCGCGGUAAUACGGAGGGUGCAAGCGUUAAUCGGAAUUACUGGGCGUAAAGCGCACGCAGGCGGUUUGUUAAGUCAGAUGUGAAAUCCCCGGGCUCAACCUGGGAACUGCAUCUGAUACUGGCAAGCUUGAGUCUCGUAGAGGGGGGUAGAAUUCCAGGUGUAGCGGUGAAAUGCGUAGAGAUCUGGAGGAAUACCGGUGGCGAAGGCGGCCCCCUGGACGAAGACUGACGCUCAGGUGCGAAAGC